AUUUGUCUGGUUAAUUCCGAUAACGAACGAGACCUUAACCUGCUAACUAGUUCUCAAUACUCUGUAUUCUGCAACUUCUUAGAGGGACUAUGUAAAUCAAUUACAUGGAAGUUUGAGGCAAUAACAGGUCAGUGAUGCCCUUAUAUGUCCUGGGCUGCACGCGUGCUACACUGAUGCAUACAACAAGUGCCUAGCCAGACAUGGUAUGGCAAUCUCGAAUAUGCAUCGUGAUGGGGAUAGAUCUUUGCAAUUAUAGAUCUUGAACGAGGAAUUCCUAGUAAGUGCAAGUCAUCAUCUUGCAUUGACUAUGUCCCUGCCCUUUGUACACACCGCCCGUCGCUCCUACCGAUACCGGGUGAUCCGGUGAACCUUUUGGACUCCGUACGGGGAAAGAUAAGUAAACCAUAUCACCUAGAGGAAGGAGAAGUCGUAACAAGGUUUCCGUAGGUGAACCUGCRGAAGGAUCA
rnacentral:rRNA from 1 species